GAUGAACGCUGGCGGCGUGCCUAAUACAUGCAAGUCGAGCGAACGGACGAGAAGCUUGCUUCUCUGAUGUUAGCGGCGGACGGGUGAGUAACACGUGGAUAACCUACCUAUAAGACUGGGAUAACUUCGGGAAACCGGAGCUAAUACCGGAUAAUAUUUUGAACCGCAUGGUUCAAAAGUGAAAGACGGUCUUGCUGUCACUUAUAGAUGGAUCCGCGCUGCAUUAGCUAGUUGGUAAGGUAACGGCUUACCAAGGCAACGAUGCAUAGCCGACCUGAGAGGGUGAUCGGCCACACUGGAACUGAGACACGGUCCAGACUCCUACGGGAGGCAGCAGUAGGGAAUCUUCCGCAAUGGGCGAAAGCCUGACGGAGCAACGCCGCGUGAGUGAUGAAGGUCUUCGGAUCGUAAAACUCUGUUAUUAGGGAAGAACAUAUGUGUAAGUAACUGUGCUCAUCUUGACGGUACCUAAUCAGAAAGCCACGGCUAACUACGUG
rnacentral:rRNA from 1 species